GUCUAGCGCCCCUUACCAGCGGAGGCUCAUCCCCCACUCCCCGCCUCCUCGUCUGCUUUGCUCUUUCUCUGCCCACCUGGCCUAUUUCUGGAGUCACCGUUUGAGAGCCCUGAUAACAGUUAAACUUGCCCGCUUUGGGUGUAGCUAUUGACGGUCUGCGUCUUUUCUCCACGUGAAUUGUAAACCCGGCCCUGGUCUGCCAGUGCCUGGACAAGGUCACCAUGUUUCCUACUGAGGGAUGUCUACGCCAGAGGGACGCGGCUGCCGAGGAGCUGGACGGAGCGGGUCCGCCCUGGACACGCGCGGCUGGGCAGCUCCCAGGGUGAUAUCUGUGGCUAUGCAAGAACUCAGGAGCGCAUCACCACAUACCCCAUCGGAGGAAUUUUGAAGGAUGCAUCUUCCUUAUCUGAAAGGAAUUUGAAGAAGAGAGGAAAUCGAGACCUCCUUCCUCUGGCAUCGAGGUCUCGACCUUGCAGCUUACUGGUGUCUGCUUCGGAGGCGUUGGAAGGCACAGGCAUGGGUGGACUUCAGUAGACUUAUGCUGAUUUUUACCAUGAGAUGGAAUCACUUUAUCUAACUGAGGAACCUCACAGGCCUCUGUUUCUCAAAGAUUUUAUUUUUCAGGUUUUUACUUAGAUUCUAGAGCAGUUUGCUUUUCCAUCCUUGUGAUUUCCAACUGUGAUUUCCAAUCAGCCAACUUUUGCGUAAGGUCGUUUUUGGUUUGUUUUGUAAUACCUUGCUGAAAGCAGCAAGCAAAGCUAACACACAUUAAUGCUCUUUCCAACCCCUUCUCCUAAAGAUGCAGGCUCCGUAGGCAUGUGGUCUGUCCAAGUUAUGACAGGUGGCAAUUUUACCAAAUAUUUUGCCUUUCUGUAGUACUCGUUUCCACUUUUUCCAGCCUGUGUUAUUUAUUUCCUCGCUGCCUAAACUUUGUCAUCUAAGCCAAGGUCACUUGUUUUUGUUUUAGUGUCACUCUGUGUUAAGGUGCCACUCUCUGUGUUAAUCAGGAUGGCACUACCUGCUGUAACCCAUGACCCCUGCCCUGCCAGCUCUGCCUGCCUAACCUGGUGGUCCGUGAGUGCCCCCCUCAGUGGGCAGUUUUCCUUGACCUGGUAACUCAGGGCCCUGGACUCCUGGCAUCAUGCCUCUGCAGCCUUGCUGUCCUCACCUCCAACCAGUGGAUGGGAAUGAGACCAUGAGACCUAGAAGUGACACACGUCACCUCAGCUCCCGUUGCGCUUCUGAGAAGUAGUCACACAACCCCUGGCCGAGCUCCCUGCUCCGGGAGAGAAGCCCAGACUGUGUGUGGAGAGCAGGCUCCCUCCCCCACUGUUCACAGUGAGUCUGCAGCACCCUUUGGUUCCACGUAAGGCCGUCAGCUGCCCGAAGGCUGACUCGAGUGUCUGCUUUCACUCCCAACCUUUUGUCUGUGUAGUGAAGUCAAAUCCCUGAUGUAAAAAUCGACGUUUAAGUCUCAGACUUUCUUGUGUUAGACUUCAUCAUGACAGUGGCAUCUCCAUUAAGAUGGUAAUAGCUUAAGGAACAAUUUAUGGACUAAAACUUUGUAAUGGAAAGUAGAAAUCAUGCAAUUGAUGUUUAGAUGCGCUCUUUAGGAUUCCCUCUCUACUUUGUUGUAUUGUUCUGCUGUGCCUCUCCAGAACAAUUUGUUCCCUGUUAUCUCAAGGUUAAGAGAAUCGUGCUCACAUCCCUCCCACAUUGCUCAGGGAGGCAGCAAAUAGCGAGCAGGCGUGAUGUGGGUGGAACCAGGUUCAACAAAACAUAUGUCGGGAUCCUGAUCCUAGUACCUCAGAAUCUGACCUUAUUUGGAAAUAGGGAUAUUCAUACGUGGUUAGUUAAGAUGAGGUAAUGAGGGCAGGCCCUAAUCGAUAUGAUUGGAGUCCUUCUAAGAAGAGGGGACGUGCUGUGAAGACACACACAGGAGAAUGGCCACGUGAUGACGGACGCAGAGACUGGGGAUGCAGCUGCAGGUCAGGGAAUGCUGAGAAGCCGGGAGGGGGCAAGGAGGGUUCCACCCAAAGUCUCAGCGGGAAAAGGGUCCUGCCAACACUUGAUUUUGGACGUCCAGCCUCUAGAACUGUGGGAGAAUAAAUGUCUGUCUUUGUAGGCCCCCAGUUAUGAUAUUCUGUUCAGGCAGCCCUGGGAAGCUAAGACCAGGUGCUAGGUUUGGACUGAGCAGAUCUGGGGUUAAAUACCCUUUCUCUCACUUCCGUCUGUGUGGUCCUGGGCAGGAUGCUUUACCUCUCAGAGCCUAUUCCCUCAACUCUAAAAUGGGAGAGUAUAACGUUUACCUUUCAGGGCUGUUGGGAGGAUUUUUAACGUCCUGACGCACUGUAAAUGCUGGGCUGGGGAAAAUCGUGGAGGUUGUUUGUUGGCGUAUUGAGUGGCGUAAGCGUUGGCUAUUCUUCCAGAUGCAAGUGCUGCAGCUGUAAACUCAAGAAAGAAUUGUUUGCACGAUGUGUAUCUACACACGCAGGCAUCUCUGUAUGCUAACAUUCAGACAGUAACUCCAUGCACACAUGAAAGGGUCUAGUUAGCUUUGCCUUGGGGCAGGCAAACUCUUCUGUGAGAAAGGGUCAAGAAGGACAUAGUGGUGCAGUUGAUUCAUUAAUUCAAGAAAUACCUGCUGAGCACUGAGCUUGUCUCGGCACUGUGCCGAGCCCGGGUGCUGAAGCAGAGAAUGGGUAAGGCUCUCUUGCCGACAAGUGGUGGGCAGGGUCACUUGAUGAGUCUUUUGAGGGCAGUGCCGUGGGACAGCUCAGGAAUUCGGAGCCAGGGCGUCCAUACCAGCCUCGGAGCCAGGAAGGGCUGGAGAAGAGGCCCCUGACCUGAGCCCCCAGGUGUGAGUACUAAUUAUUCAGGUGAAUGUGGCUGUUUGGGGGCACAGGAGCUCCCAGCAGAGGGAGCAAACAGAAAGGGCUCCACAGUGGGAGGUAGCACCUACGAGGGUUCUCUGGUCAUAUCUGUAUGUUCUUAUGUAUUUGGGGAGAUCAUUCCCCUGGAUUUGGAAACUUUAAUUAGUCUGAGGCAGCUGGCUGUUCCUUUACAAUCUUGCCCUCUAUUCUGGUCUUCAAUUUGCUCCUAAAAAUGCUUUUGCUACAAUUUUUCAGAUGAAAAGUCACCCUUCGGGAUAAAAUAAAAUGCGCAGACAGCCCUUUGGCCUUUGCUCUGUUCUUGGCUAACAGGUGCUGUCUGUCCCAAGCGGUGGGCUUAUCCCUCCCUUGUUUCUUUUGUUUUCCAAAUAUAGCUUGUGAAAGUCAUGCCUUUGUUCUGUAGGAUUUUUUGUAAACCUAGGUCCAUGGUGCGCCCCAAUUUUCUGAGAGCUGCUGUGACAGAUUUGUUCUUCUCGCAUUUGUGCCUGCUCAUCCCCUCCCUCUGUUGUGAUGUCUUGUAUGAAGAUGUCGUUUCAAACAGGAAUCCAUCAGCAAGGUCCCCCAGGAUGACCCCAGUGCUCUCUUUAAAUGCCCCCCACCAUCUUCAUUUUAUUCUUCAUUUAGACUUGAGAUUCAAAAUUUCACUUAUUUUAGAGCUUGACAUGUCCCUGAGCCAUGUCUCCUUUAUGGUCUCUUGCCAUAUGGUUUCGAAACUCAUCUUCCUAAAAUCUAAGGAACAGGCCUAAUAGUUCCCAGAGUUCUCUUGAUUGAUUGUUGUAGCCACCAAGAUGUCCUAGAAAUGUAGACAUUGGGAGAAAUUCCUCAGCGCGUGCAACAGGAUAUUGAAUACAGGUUUCCUGUUGUCUUGGAGUGUCACAGAGGUCCCAAAGGCUGCAAACAAUGGGUGACAAAUUCUCCCACAUUCCAAAGGAAGGGCCAGCACCUGUGCUGAACCUGAAACGAAUGUGGUCCAAAGUGAGCUCCCUGCACCCUGCGCAAGGCUGUAUGAGACGAGCUGGAAACGUCAUUGAGAUGUUGAAGCAGCUGGUGGGGAGGCUCUGCUUGGUGAGAGGGUCAGCGUGCUGGGAGUUCCCACCAACCUUGCCACGAGGAACAAAGGGAGAGGCGAGCUUUCCCCGCCUCAGCCCAUUGACAGUGGCUGCAAAAAACCAAACCAAAACAAAACAAAGCAGCCUGGAGAGCCUGGCAUGUGAUCUGUAGCCAGUUGCUCUUUUGAGCCAAGGAUGGGGCAGUGUCGAGGAUGGUCCCACGUCCAGAUGCUGAUGAGCCUGACAUGGAUCACGUGGGAGGGAAUGGAUGGUUUGGAGCAAGGGCUCUCUCAAGACACUGCUGGUCUGUGCCAGGUAACCUGAACAAAGUGGGGAUCACCAGCAACCCGGGGCUUGGAGAGAGCUUUCAGACCUACCAGAGGAGGAGUUGUAGCCCACAUCAAGGAAACUGGAGGCAAGAGAUCACCAGCAAUGCAAGCUCUAAAGAACCCACAAAAUUACCCCGUGGAGAAAAAAUCAGUGUUUGCUGUUGCCACAUCCAGAGAGUACUAAUGAUGGAUUUCAGCUGAACCAAUCAAGUGAGAAAGUUUUGCCCCAUAUCUCCUCUCCUUCCUCCAAGUCCAGCCCUGAAGGAACUGAGUGCAGACAGUGACUAGGGGCUGAAAAGUAAAGAACAAGCUGGAUAGACAGAGAAGCAGCAGCCAGGUAUGGUGGAGACAGCUGGCAGUCCACCAUGGCUUGUGCUCCCCUCCAUGACUACGUCAUUCAAGAGAGUGACUACUCACCAUGGGGUUACGGUUUCCAGAGGCAAUGCCCUGUGGAUAGUGAUGGGGGCACAUGACUGAGUUCUGCCCAGCGGGAUGUGGGUGAAGGUGAUAGAUGUUACUGGCCCACAUUAACCUCCCAGAAAAUCUUCCAUGUUCUCUCUUUUGCCUCUUCUGGCAGCUAGAUGUUGAUACCCAGGAUAUAGAAAACCCUAUAAAUACCCUACCCAGGUGCCCUUAGCCCUUAAUAUUUAAGUGCACACUAACCUAUAUUCCAGCUGCCUGUGCCUGACUCUCUUUGCCUGAAGGCUUUUUUCAGCCACUGGAGCCUUCUUUGCCCAUAUAUAUGGCAGGUUGGAAAUGCCAGGGCAUUAGCACCUCCUCAAUAUGUGAGCAAUCCUAAGCCAACGGCUGUGUGGAGUCCGUGGAGAAAUCCCCCAGCCCCCUUCUCCCUGGGUGAGGUAACUCUGGAGCGCACGGUCUAUACCGUUUCCCAGCAGGACUAGGUUCUGGUGGCCCUUGGUGAUAAAUUGUGUAACUAUUAUUGUCUUCUUUCCUUUCCCCACCUCACUUCCCUGAUCUUUAGUGAUUGGCUGUGACUGCCUCCCAAAUAAAAACUACCUUUAUUCAAAACUUGUUUCAGGAUCUGCUUCUGGGGAAACCCAAUCUAAGACCAGGGCAACUUUGGAAUCCACAUUAUUGAAGACAGCUGAGCCUCUGACAUCUUGGAUCCUUGAACAACGAGGUGGAGGAGAUCCUCCUCCCCCACCAACACCAUAUUGCCCCAAGCCCACUACAGCUGAUUCCAUUUUUUACGAGCAAAAACUAAUUUCCAUUGUGUUAAGCCACUGACAUUUCGGGAUUUAUCUGUUACAGGACCUCAGCUAACACGCUCUGUUUGCCUCACUUUUCUUUGGCAGGUUCCCAAACAUAAAGCAGAUCCAGACCCGGGAAAGGGAAAAGCUUUACACUGGAAGAGAGUUUGAAAUUUUCAUGCUACUCUGGGUGGAUUUUUUUUCUAUUGUGUUGAAAAUGAAAUUUAAGAUUUAUAAUCUGAGAGUGACCCACAUUUCAUCUGGGGGUGGGGAAGAACGAGUUGAGAGAAUAGGUAAAAAAUAAAUUAAAUUGCUUUCCGCCUGCAUCCUACUAAGUUCAGCUCUUUCAAUAAACUGGUUAUAAGUGAUGUCUGUUUCUCUGAUUCAGUGGAAGCAGCUAUCCUGACAGCUCAGUGUGAGCUAACAAAACAAUAGAAAAAGUGUUUUUGCUGGUAAAUUAAGCAUUGCCAUGUUUAAUUUUAUUAGUUUUCCACUUGACCAUGCAUUGAAAGAUACACCUAUAUGAAUGAACAUUACUCAUUAUUAUCUGUUAUAAUAGCUGACCAUCUUAUUUUAUUUAUAUUGAGGAGAAAGAAAUAUUAGUUAUGAACUUCGAGUUUGGAAAUUUUCGUGAAAAAUUCUAAGUCCCCUCCCCCUCCCCCCUACUACCCCAAGUCUAAUUCCUAGAUGCUGUGUUCCUUUCUAGCUCCUUCGGGCUGAAAGCUUAUGUUGAAACAAGUGCUUUGUGUCAACUUCCCUUCAGCUUCUGGGUAGUCUCUUGUUUCACAGGAUCCACGUUCGUCUGUUCCUUCCUCAACCCUUCAUCUCAUCAGGAAGGCAGGAACCCCGAGGUCAUGCCCAGAUAUAGCCCUAUGGUGUCCCACUUUCUUAGAAUGAGAAUUAAGACAGUAAUAGCAGCAAGAGGACAAACUGGAACAGGCUCUGAGCACUCACGCACACACAAGAAAAGGAGCGAAAAUAGCUGUAGUUCAUGAAUGUGAAACACUCGAAUGCCCAAUAUCAAAAUGGAAGCCAACAGUUUAUGAGUCUCAGCUUUACCCUAAAUAUUUUUAUACCACAAAAAGACACCUUCAAAUUAACUGAGAUGCCAUUUAUCCAGAAGGUAAAAUUAAAAUCUAAAUUUCUUUGGAUUAAUAAUAAUAUAUUACAUUAUUGAGUAUUUACUAUGUGCCAAGUAUUGUUCAAGGCGCUAUGUACAGUCUAACUCAUUCUAUCCUUAUGACACACUGUGCUAGACAAGAACUUUCCUUACCUCCAUUUUACAGAUAAGAAACUGAGGAAUUGAGAGGACAAGAAAAUUGUUUCAAGUUUCACUGCUCAGAAGUGGUAGCGUCUUGGUUUAAAACAGGGCAGGCUGGCUUCCCAGCCAUGGUGUCAAUCCUGGUAUUAACGGCUACUGCUUGGUGAGUUCCACAGUGCAAGACUCAGGGGCAUGUGCUUCACCUUGACCAUGUACUUCAACCGUCACAACAGCUUCAAGAUCGCGUUCUCAAUUAACACAGGAAGGUACAGAAGCUCAGAGGUUAAGAAACUUGCCAAGUCUGCGUUUAUAAUCUGAUUCCCAAAUCACUCUUCCUUAACCUUUGAGUGACCAUAUAAUAUUGUCUCAAGUCCAGGGUACUUUUAAGAGUGAAAAGAGACAUUCUUAACAAUUGAUGGCAUGGCCAGCACAAACCAGGACUCUCUUGGGCACUCUGCGAUGCAUGAUUGCCCUCCACCCUUCUGAACUUGAGCAGCUGAUGACAUUCUGAUAUUGCACCUGAAGUGAAUUUGCUCACCCGUUGUGCAGCAAGCCAAUCUCUGACACUGGGUAUAGUGGAAGAAAGUAGGAAUUUUAUUAUUGCACAGAGCUGAAUAAGGAGAUAGGACAGCUAAUACUGAAAUCCCAAACUCCCUGAAAAGCUAAAAGGAAGGGUUUUUAUUUGGAGUUUUAGGUAGAGGAGGGGGAGCACAUGGCCUUGCUGGUUGGAGCUUUCCCACCAGCCUGUCUUUGGCCUUGAGACACUUGCAGAGAGGAGGGAGCCUGUGACCUUGCUGCUCAGCAGCUUUCCCACCAGCCUGUGUCUCCUUGUUGGGGAGGAGAUCACGAAUCCAGGUGCUUAUCCUUGGCUGUGUCUGUCUCCAUGGAGGAUAGUGGAUUGUGGAGCCAGGAAGCCAGGGAGCAGGCAGGGAAUGAGUGCUUUGGUUUUAACCCCAUAUAUGCAGGGUUUAAUGUAGAGAAACUGAUAUCAGGGCCAGUAUCAAUUUGACCCCAAAUCUUUGAAGAGUUCCUCAAAAUGACCAAAGAAAGAAGUGUUUCCCCAGAGUUUUGUGAACUGGAAUCACCCAUCUCCUUCCCUCUCCCUCCAUGUUUAUUUCCUCUUUGGAAACCCUGUUUGGUCAACUUCCUCUCCUCUACUUCAAGUCUUUUGAAAAAAAAAGACCACCAUUAGAUCUUAUAAAUGUAUUUUCUUCACAUGUGAAAUGAUGGAUUAUUGACUCCUUGGAGAAAAUAACAUCCUUUCAGCUAACAAAACAGAGCUGAACAAAACAGGAGGAGAGCACAGAGAGGGCCACUAAUUUAAAGAGAAAUUUAUAGGUCUCCUGAUGUCAUGAGUAAGAAAGACUUUGCUGUCUGCAGGGAAAAGGAAACAGUGCUGGAGACUAGGUAUGCACAGAGUCUCCUCUGGCAUUAAAACCAGGCAGACGCCCAGUCUCAGCCCAGACCUAUUACAUCCAAGCUUUAGAGGCUGGACUCUUCAGUGUUUGCAUCUUUGAGAACCUCACCAAUGAUUCUGAUUCACGGUCAGGGGGAACAAAUCAAUAUGAAAUCCCCUGACGACAACAGACCUUUCCAGUAGAACCGUGGAGUAUGCACAUCAGUCUUCAUCCUGUACCAUCAAGUCACCAAGCAGCCGACCCUGGGUUUCUCAACAUAUUGUAGGCAGAACUUGUUUUGGUUGCUUUUCUAACCUUUUCUGAGAUUCUAAUCAAACCUCAUCUUUCCGACCUGGUUACAUUUGUUGCCAUCUUUUUCACGGUUCCUUUCUCUUAUUUUCCUCCACUUCCUCAUUCUCUGCAUCUUCAAAUACAUACAAGCAUACAUAAAUACAUAGAUGUAUACAUCAAUUCAGGUAAAUGUAUGUAUUUGUAUGUAUGUAUUUACCUGAAUUAUUUUGAGAUUUAAAAAUAAAUAUCUCUUUUUCUUUUUCAUAAAAAAAUCAUUCUGUGUUGAUUUUACUUAUUUUCAGGAUUAGGAAAGACCUCUUGAAAUCAACUUUGAUCUUUACUUAAAUUGUAGAUGAGAAAUCCAGGAAAAACAAUUUUGAAGAAAUCCCAUGCAUUAAUAUGCUUUUAAUCACAGAGCUAUUGUGUUUUGUUUCCCACUGAUUUUUUAAAAAUAUUUUUUCUCUUUUUGGUGAGGAAGAUUGGCCCUGAGGUAACAUCUGUGCCAAUUGUCCUCUAUUCUGUAUGUGGUAUGCCACCACAGCAUGACUUGAUGAUCGGUGUGUAGGUCCACACCCAGGAUCUGAACAUAUGAACCCUGGGCUGCGGAAGCGGAGCACAUGAACUUAACCACUAUGCCGCUGGGCUGGCCCAUUUCCCAUAUAUGUUUUUCCGAACAAGCCAUUAUGGAAAUUUAAAAAUAUACUGCAGAGUUGGAAGAAUUUUGAACUAAACACCCAUGGACCCCCCACCUUGCGCUACCACACAUCUAUCCAUCUGUGAUGCCUCCCGUGGAUCGACUAAUCCAUCUUAUUUUUCAGGUAUUUCACAGUGUAUUUGUACAUUGAUUCAAAUAAAUUAUAUUGCUGUUACUAAUGUUGAUGGUGACAAAAUACUUCAACUGCAUAUUGUCGUUCAGUCAACCAGUCUUCGUUCAAAAUCACUCCAUGGGAAGAGAGAGCACAGGUCAGACUCCAUUUUGGGGGAAAUAAAAGUGUUAUCUUUUGCUGGUAAGGAGAUUUAAGGGUUGGUAUUACAUUUCUAUGUAAUGUAAUGUGUAUUUUUAUUCUAACAUUUAAUUGCUGUUAUAACAUAAUUCAAAGCCUUUGACAAAAAAAUGUUUAAUCAAUGAUUGCUACUUGCCCAGUGUCGUUUACGAUAACAUGCCAAUGGAAGCAGGUCUGUGGGGAUUAACGUGCACCUGAUUUUUGUCCUUAGACCCUUCAAUGUUGAAAAUACAAGGAACAGUUUUCAUAAAACAGGGCUUUUUGUGUGGUUGUUAUUUGAGGACGCUAUAGAAUGGUUCUCUCCUCCACUGAAUAUCCACCACACCUGCCUGAAGUCCCAUCAUGGUUCAUGGCCUUUUGGGAGAUCCUGUAAAAAUGCCAAGAGUCUUCACUGUCAGCCUCUGUUUUCCUUAUUCCUCUGGACUAUCUGACCAAUUAGGGAGACCAAUAGAUACACCCCACCAAUAGGCGGAAGUCAGAAUUAGUCUUGCUGCCGUAGGCUUGGGGUUUUGGUGUCUUGGACACAUUCGGGUUCACCUGGGUGCCCCCUAACUCAGCCUCUUGCCAGCCCCCGUGGACUUAGUGUCCACGGGGGCUGGACUCUCCGACCGAUUUUCUGCUUAGUGCUCCAGUUCCCUGAAUCCCAAGUUACCUCGAUGAUGUGGGGGAGGGGUGUACUGACUCCUACCUAUCCCUUGCCUCUUCCUCUGUGUCAGCUGGCCAAACCGUGGGUCUCAUACUCCCAGUUCACACUGGGGAUGCGACUUCUUGUAGUUGUGUCACUGGAAACCAGGGUCCACAUACUGGUAUGAACCUGAGGACAGCUUGUGUUUGGACUGCCUUCCAUCCUGCACCCACUGGAUUCCAGUCCCACGAGUGUAAGUAGGGAUGCUGGUUUGAGUGGAGCAUGAGCUUGGGACAGUGGAGCUCUGCCCCUUUGGGGUCCAUUCCUUAGACCACAACCUGAACGGCCUUCCUUCCUCCCUUCCCCGCCAAUCCAUGUGAGCCUCCAGACGAGUCAAUCUGGUUGGCACACCCAGAGUAUUUAAGAACACGGAUGCUACAGUCAACAGUCCUGGGUUCAGAUUUCAGCCACUUAUCAACUGUGACAUUAUGCCCAUCCCUUAACCUCCUUAAAUUUCAGUUUUUUCAUCUGGAAAGGAGCUUGCCAUAGCACCUUCCUCAUCGCAUGUUUAUGCCUUGUUACUAAGACAAAUGCCUGAGAAGUCCCUAAUAUGUUAUGGUAACUAGUAAGUUCAAGAAAUGGAAGCUUCAAACAAAAGUUAAAAUUGCCAGUAUUAUUCCAGACGCUCGAAGCCACUUCUAAAAUAAAAUGAGUUCUAAAUAAAUAAAUAACUUAAAGUGUAUUUUUAUUCAUUAAUAUGUUUUGACCCUUUGCUACCCAAACCUUAUUCAGACACCUGACAAAGUCCUGUGAGAAUGGCACCUGGGAGGAUUAUGGACUAUGAAAAUGGAAUAAGUUCCUUUUAUUUCUUCCUUGUUCUCUUCCCUCUACAAUUCACUAACCAUUUGCUCAAACUUUUAGUCAUUUAUUUGUUCAGCCAAAAAUAUUUUGUACGGGGCGCUGUCCCAGGUGGGCAUGGAGGCUGACAGGUAUGCUAAGGAGCUGGAUUUUCUACAGGUGACUGGGAGUCAUUAAAGAACUUGAUCAUGGAGAGAUUGUCUUCGUAUUUGCAUAUUUACAUAUUAAGAGGGCCACUCCCACUCAUGUGACAAUGUGGAGGACGGAUUUGUAGGGCCAGGGACCCACAACAGGGAGACCACUGGGCCUCAUGGGUAAUAGCACAGACGUGCUGGUUCACGCCUUUGUGCCUUUGCACUUCCCAUGGUCUUUCCCCACACUCUCCUCCUCCAGGAAGCUUUCCCAGACUCUUUCAUAAACUGAGUGGUCCUGCCCUGUGUUCCACAGGAUUCUGUACUUACCCUAAUCUUAGCAUUUACUAGAAAAUACCAAAAUGAUCAAUUUUCCUGUUUGUCUUCCUCACCAGAUUAUAAGCUUUGAGAGUGAGACCUGCAUCUUAUUCGUCAUUGUAUCCCUAAGGCCCGUCUCAUCCUAGAUGCUCACUAGAUGUUUAGUUAAUAACUAAAUAGGCUGGGCUGGUAGAUGAAGGCUACACUGCAUGUCUGUCCUCAAGGAGGUCAUGGGUUAAUAGAAAAAGAGACACAACAAUAAAUUAUUACAAGUACAAUAACUGAGUUACUGAAUGAAUAACUGGGUGGGGGAGAAAUUCGGGAAGGAUUCCCAAAGGAAGUCAGUCUCUUUGCAUCUAGAAGGCGAAGAGCAGUAUAUUAAGCGGACACUUCACACAGAAGGAAGAGCAGGUACAAAGAACAGGUGAACGAAGACGGACUGGCCAGCGGCUGGUCUGGAGCUGGGAGCGAGGGAGCCCGUGAUGCCUUCGGGCGUCAAAAUCAGGGCUGCUCUGUCCAACACUGUCUCUGGAUUCCACCUCCAAGGACAGGCAGCUCCGUGUGUUUCAGAUAAAGUCCCUGGGGGCCCAGAGCCUUAAAGGGGCUCAACCUGUAGGUGGCCAGCCCCGUUGUUGGAAAGGGGCUGGGCCAUGGGAAGCAGAGAGGACCACUGCUGGCUCAGCUGCUCCGAACUCCCGGCAGGGCUCAGGGCUCCCUGGUCCGCAGUCCCGGAAAUCUGCUUAGUUUUUUGAAAUUGAGUCCAGGCCUCUAGCAUCGCUCCUGUUCUCUGUCUUCUCAAAGCUUUACGGCAGUGGUUUCCUGUGUGAUUUCUCUCAGAACUCUUGGGUGGGAUUCGUCUCUGAUUGGCAUCUUCAACUCAUUGAAAGCUGUCACAGGCACUCACGCUUUCUUCUAGUAGCUUGAUUAUAUUUUUACUUUUUAAAUGAAUUGCAUUCAGUACUCUUCUUGUCUUGCUUUCUUAUUGCUUUGGUGCAUUGAUUGGCUUUCUGACAGUACACGCCUGGGUGGCCAAGCAUGACUUUACUUUCAGAGCAACACUGACCGUUGCUGUAACUGGGGUUAAUGUUCCCUCUUAACAGAUCAUUUCGCGGGAAAAACAAGUUGACACGAUACGGUGAAUAAAGAAGGGAUGGAGGAAACAGAAACUGAGAAGUGGGAAAGGCAUUUUUAAUUUAUGAAAAUAGGAACUAUCUCUUUUUGUUUAAAAAACAUCUACAUUUGGGGCCUGGCCUGGUGGUGCAGCGGUUCAGUUCAUGCGUUUCGCUUCAGCGGCCCGGCGUUCACUAGUUCAGAUCCCGGGUGCGCACCUGUGCACCGCUUGGCAAGCCAUGCUGUGGUGGGCAUCCCACGUGUAGGGUGGAGGAAGAUGGGCACGGAUGUUAGCUCAGGGCCAGCCUUCCUCAGCAAAGAGAGGAGGCCUGGCAGUAGUUAGCUCAGGGAUAAUCUUCCUCAAAAAAACACAAAUCUAUAUUUGGAUGUAUUAUGGACUUCAAAAUCAUCAUAAACAUGUUUAUCCUAUAUUUUCAAAUCUGAGCAGCAAAGACAGAAACAAAAUAUGAAUUGAGCCUUUCUCCUUCAGACUGCCACAGGUUCUCACGACAUCCCCACCAAGGGGGCAAACUUACCUUUCUUCUAUUUCUUCGGAUGAACGUGGCAUAAAUAAAUACCCUCAUGAUGGAUCUCUCGGCCCCUCUGCAGUUCCAGCACACCCCUGCACCCCAUCCUCUCUCUCCCUCCUUCUUGUUCUUCUCUUUCUCCUUUUCUCUCUGUCAUCAGUUGUUUUGCUCAUCAAAGUGCUUGCAUGGGUUUGCUUUAGCAUCAUGUACUAGUCAGGGUUCUCCAGAGAAACAGAACCAACAAGAGAUACAUUAUGAAAAGAUGUAUUACGGAGGAUUGGUCCCGCAGUUACAGAAGCUGAGAAGUCGCAGGUGUGCUGUCUGCAAGCUCGAGCCCCGGGAAGGCUGGUGGUAUAGUUCCGGGCCGGGUCUGAAGGCCUGAGACCCAGGGGAGCUGACGGAAGAAACCCCAGCACAGGGGCAGAAGAUCAGUGUCCCAGCUCCAGCAGACAGGCAGGAAGCAAAGGGGUGAAUUUCUCCUUCCUCUGCCUCUUUGCUCUGUUCAUGUCCUCAAGGAGUGAGGCCCUCACACUGGGGAGGGUCAUCUACUUCACCAAGUCCACGGAUUCAAACGCUAACCUCAUCCAGAAACACCCCCAUAGACACACCCAGAAAUGAUGUUCCAUCUGGGCACCUCUUGGCCCAGUCAAGUUGACAAGCAAAAUUAACUAUCACAUACAGUCAGGAUGAGAUGGGUUGAAAAGAGAACUUGGAAUACAAGGGCUUUUUAAAGGACCAAUGUGUGAAGAUAAAGAGGCUCAAACUCCACUGUUAAAACAGCCUUUGGUUCCAAUAUCCGCCACUGGGUGUCGCUAAGUAAUCUAAUUAAACACCCAAUUUACGACUCCAACAAAUGAGUUGAUGUUGAGCUGAAUGAGGCAGAAAUAAAAAUUAAGGUCAUGUGGCCUAAAUAAAAUCCUGUAGAUUGUCUGCAACAGCUAUUUCAAACCAGCAGGAUGAGUUCCUGGAAUAUGAAUUGGAAAGUUCAUGAAUUAACAAGAGCACAUGAAGGGGCUUGGUCUUCAUUGGGGAAAACAAAUAAAUCCUUUAUAGUUUACGUGUCUUUCCUUUUUCCUCUCCUAUUAAAUUGGACAUCCUGCUGGGUGCAUUUUCAUGAGCAUCACCGCAUUUUAUGUGGUCUAAACAUAUCGGCUGGGCUGUCAGCAUCUGCUGAGGCAACUCCCCUCCUCCGAUCCUCCAUCAGUUCGUACACUGUAUUGUCAACUUUUUUAAAGAUGGCUUUUGAGGGUCCUGACCUGACCUACCCAAAAAGCAAGCUCGAUAAGCACAAGACCCGUCCUUCGGAAUGUCUCUGGGCGAGCUCCCGUUCUUCCUUCAAGACUCAGAUCAAGUGCUCUCUAGUCUGUAAGACUUGAUCUUCCACAGCUCCUCCCCUCCCCUCGUCCCCGUAGCCCAGCUGUGUGUUCUUCCAUGAGGCGCGUUUCACCUUGCCUGGUAGUGAAUUGUUCACGUAGUCGCCUUCUCCACAGACUGUGAGCGCCCUAAGGACAGGCACCUGUUCAGAGAAGCCAUUGCCCCACAAAACUUAAUGCUGCUGCCCCUAGCGGCUGGCUCGUCCACUGAAGUCCUGUACAACAAGUCAGUAGGCAGUUACUGAUCCCCCAGCACUUUGCUAGACUUUUGCUAGCUGGAGGUAAACCGGUUGUGUGUGUUCUGUGUUUUAUAAAUCUGUGUCCUUAGAGAGAAUAAUUAAGGGCUCACCAAAUUGAUGCAGAAAGGGGUUUUCGUUUUUUUGGAUGGUGUCUUCAAAUAUUUGUAAAAGGAGUAGCUCAUUCUUUGUCCACUGCCAAUCCAUUUAAAAACACUUACACAGUGGACGAGAGGGGACUGUAUUUAUAAGAGACACUAAAUCAAUAUUUAACUUAAGGGGAAGUUUUUAAGCAAAUUGCUUCACUUCUCCUUCCUAAGAAAAACAACUUGAGAUUAGGAAAUACCUUUUCUUAAAGAGGUUAAUGGCCUUGCAAGUUCAAAUAAAUAUUUUAACAUGCUAC
rnacentral:lncRNA from 1 species